GGGGGUGUGGCGGAAUGGCAGACGCAGGGGAUUUAAAAUCCCCCGAUCAUUGAUCAUGCGGGUUCGACUCCCGCCACCCCCACCA
rnacentral:tRNA from 1 species